GGCCGAACCUCCCAGACAGAGACGAAACUUAAGUUUCGGGGGCAGGCUUCGGCAGCCGAAACUGCCUCCACAAGGGGGUUCGGCGGCCGAAAGUCACUUCGGCGGCCGAACCUGAGUUUCUGCCGAAGGGCAGAAACUUGGCUCCCUUGUGUCCACAGCCUCCAAAACGCCUCAAAACAUGCAUAAACUUGUUUCUACACAUGCAUACACAUCAUAC
rnacentral:lncRNA from 1 species